UACGUAGGUGGCAAGCGUUGUCCGGAUUUACUGGGCGUAAAGCGUAUGUAGGCGGAUUUUUAAGUAGGAAGUGAAAAGGUUCGAGCUCAACUCGGACACUGCUCCCUAUACUGGAAGUCUUGAGGGCCGGAGAGGAAAGCGGAACGACACGUGUAGCGGUGAAAUGCGUUGAUAUGUGUCGGAACACCAAUGGCGAAGGCAGCUUUCUGGACGGUAGGUUUACCUUUAAAUCUGACGCUGAGAUACGAAAGCCGAGGUAGCGAACAGG
rnacentral:rRNA from 1 species